GACGAACGCUGGCGGCGUGCCUAACACAUGCAAGUCGAACGGAGUACCUUCGGGUACUUAGUGGCGAACGGGUGAGUAACGCGUGAGAAACCUGCCUUUCAGUGGGGGACAACAGUUGGAAACGACUGCUAAUACCGCAUAAUGUCAUUUGGGGGCAUCCCUGAAUGACCAAAGAUUUAUUGCUGAAAGAUGGUCUCGCGUCUGAUUAGCUUGUUGGCGGGGUAACGGCCCACCAAGGCGACGAUCAGUAGCCGGUCUGAGAGGAUGAACGGCCACAUUGGGACUGAGAUACGGCCCAG
rnacentral:rRNA from 1 species